UACAGAGGGUGCGAGCGUUAAUCGGAAUUACUGGGCGUAAAGGGUUCGUAGGUGCCAACUAAGUCAGACGUGAAAUCCCUCAGCUUAACUGGGGAACUGCGUCUGAAACUGGUUGGCUUGAGUGCAGGAGAGGAAUGCGGAAUUCCAGGUGUAGCGGUGAAAUGCGUAGAUAUCUGGAGGAACACCGGUGGCGAAGGCGGCAUUCUGGACUGUAACUGACACUGAGGAACGAAAGCCAGGGGAGCAAACGGG
rnacentral:rRNA from 1 species